rnacentral:tRNA from 1 species
UCCGAGUUGGUCUAAGGCGCCAGAUUAAGGAUCUGGUUCGAAAGGGCGUGGGUUCAAAUCCCAC